UUGGCCUUGACAUACUAAGAACUUUCCAGAGAUGGAUUGGUGCCUUUCGGGAACUUAGAUACAGGUGCUGCAUGGCUGUCGUCAGCUCGUGUCGUGAGAUGUUGGGUUAAGUCCGCAACGAGCGCAACCCUUUUUCCUUAUUUUGCCGGCGGGUCAUGCCGGGAACUUUAAGGAUACUGCCAGUGACAAACUGGAGGAAGGCGGGGACGACGUCAAGUCAUCAUGGCCCUUACGGCCAGGGCUACACACGUGCUACAAUGGUCGGUACAAAGGGUUGCUACCUCGCGAGAGGAUGCUAAUCUCAAAAAGCCGAUCGUAGUCCGGAUCGCAGUCUGCAACUCGACUGCGUGAAGUCGGAAUCGCUAGUAAUCGCGGAUCAGAAUGCCGCGGUGAAUACGUUCCCGGGCCUUGUACACACCGCCCGUCACACCAUGGGAGUUUGUUGCACCAGAAGUAGGUAGUCUAACCGCAAGGAGGACGCUUACCACGGUGUGGCCGAUGACUGGGGUGAAGUCGUAACAAGGUAGGCGUAGAUGA
rnacentral:rRNA from 1 species